rnacentral:rRNA from 1 species
GUGGGGAAUAUUGCGCAAUGGCCGAAAGGCUGACGCAGCGACGCCGCGUGUGGGAGGACGCCUUUCGGGGUGUAAACCACUGUUGCCCGGGACGAAUGACACUUUUCGAAGUGUUUGACGGUACCGGGUGAGGAAGCACCGGCUAACUCCGUGCCAGCAGCCGCGGUAAUACGGAGGGUGCGAGCGUUGUCCGGAAUCAUUGGGCGUAAAGGGCGAGUAGGUGGCUUGGUAAGUCUGUGGUGAAAGCGCGGGGCUCAACCCCGCGUCUGCCGUGGAUACUGCUAGGCUUGAGCACUGUAGAGGCAGGCGGAAUUCCGGGUGUAGCGGUGGAAUGCGUAGAGAUCCGGAAGAACACCAGGGGCGAAGGCGGCCUGCUGGGCAGUUGCUGACACUGAAUCGCGACAGCGUGGGGAGCAAACAGGAUUAGAAACCCGUGUAGUCC